CUUCAUCCUCCUCUACCUCCUGAUCCUCCUGGUGGUGGGGCUCCCCCUCUUCUUCCUGGAGCUGGCGGCCGGGCAGAGCAUCCGCCAGGGCAGCAUCGGGGUCUGGCAGCACUUCAGCCCCCGCCUGGUCGGCAUCGGCUUCGCCAGCUGCGUGGUCUGCGGGUUCGUUUCUCUCUAUUACAACGUGAUCAUCGCCUGGAGCCUCUUCUACCUCGGUAACUCCUUCCGCGCCACCCUGCCCUGGGCCAGCUGCCCCCUCGGUGCCAACCACAGCCAGCCAGAACCCGAAUGUGCCCAGAGCUCCCCCACCACCUACUUCUGGUACCGGAAGGCGCUGGACGUGAGCGAGUCGAUCGGUGUCAGCGGGGGGG